CACGUAGGGUGCGAGCGUUGUCCGGAAUUAUUGGGCGUAAAGAGCUCGUAGGCGGUGUGUCGCGUCGGCCGUGAAAACCUGCAGCUUAACUGUGGGCUUGCGGUCGAUACGGGCAUCACUGGAGUUCGGCAGGGGAGACUGGAAUUCCUGGUGUAGCGGUGAAAUGCGUAGAGAUCGGGUGGAACACCAGGGGCGAAGGCGGAUCUCUGGGCCAUUACUGACGCUGAGGAGCGAAAGCGUGGGGAGCGAACAGG
rnacentral:rRNA from 1 species